rnacentral:rRNA from 1 species
AUUGAACGCUGGCGGCAGGCUUAACACAUGCAAGUCGAGCGGGGUGAUGGUGCUUGCACUAUCACUUAGCGGCGGACGGGUGAGUAAUGCUUAGGAAUCUGCCUAUUAGUGGGGGACAACAUCUCGAAAGGGAUGCUAAUACCGCAUACGUCCUACGGGAGAAAGCAGGGGAUCACUUGUGACCUUGCGCUAAUAGAUGAGCCUAAGCCGGAUUAGCUAGUUGGUGGGGUAAAGGCCUACCAAGGCGACGAUCUGUAGCGGGUCUGAGAGGAUGAUCCGCCACACCGGGACUGAGACACGGCCCAGACUCCUACGGGAGGCAGCAGUGGGGAAUAUUGGACAAUGGGGGGAACCCUGAUCCAGCCAUGCCGCGUGUGUGAAGAAGGCCUUAUGGUUGUAAAGCACUUUAAGCGAGGAGGAGGCUCUUUUGGUUAAUACCCAAGAUGAGUGGACGUUACUCGCAGAAUAAGCACCGGCUAACUCUGUGCCAGCCGCCGCGGUAA